rnacentral:tRNA from 1 species
GCCUGGGUGGCUCAGUCGGUUGAGCGUCCGACUUCGGCUCAGGUCAUGACCUCACGGUCUGUGGGUUUGAACCCUACGUCGGGCU